GGUACUCACUUGGCAGCAUGUACUAAAAUUGGAACAGUACAGAGAAAAUUAGCAUGACCUCUGUGCAAGGAUGACACACAAAUUCAUGAAGUGUUCUAGGAAAAA